rnacentral:rRNA from 1 species
AUUGAACGCUGGCGGCGUGCUUAACACAUGCAAGUCGAUCGGUAACAGGUGUAGCAAUACAUGCUGACGAGAGGCGGACGGGUGAGGAACGCUUGGGAGUCUGCCUAUCAGCGGGGGACAACCCGGGGAAACCCGGGCUAAUACCGCAUACGCUCUACGGAGGAACGCCGGGGACCGCAAGGCCUGGCACUGAUAGAUGAGCCCAAGUCGGAUUAGCUAGUUGGCGGGGUAACGGCCCACCAAGGCGACGAUCCGUAGCUGGUCUGAGAGGACGAUCAGCCACACCGGAACUGAGACACGGUCCGGACUCCUACGGGAGGCAGCAGUGGGGAAUAUUGGACAAUGGGCGAAAGCCUGAUCCAGCGACGCCGCGUGGGUGAAGAAGGCCUGCGGGUUGUAAAGCCCUUUCGGUAGGGACGGAAGCUCUCGACCUAACACGUCGGGAGGUUGACUUAACCUACAAAAGAAGCACCGGCUAACUCUGUGCCAGCAGCCGCGGUAAAAC